UGGCACGUCCGCAAGUGGUAUGCGAACAGACUGUUAAUCUGCCAGUUUUCGUAGGUUCGAAUCCUACCGUGCCAG
rnacentral:tRNA from 1 species